AACAAAGAAAGAUGUUAAUAUUAACAUGUUUCGGUUUCCAAGUCAUACAAGUUAUCCCUGAAGGCAUUUUAAUAUAACCAAUUGGCUGAAGAGUAGGGUACAUCUAAAAAGUGGAUUAUAUUACCAGAAGCAAAAAUAAUUGUAUUUGGAUCGGCUACACAAAAAUUAAAAUACUUCUGGCAAUCAUAUGAAAAAGAAUAACUAUUGAGUAGUGUUAAGGAAUUAAGAAAAUAAAUACAGAAUAAAUCAAAGUCAUAGUUUGAAGUCUCAUGGAAGGAUACUCAAACUCUAAAAUAUUUAUAGAUUCUAUAUUUUGGAAAUGCUAUCAUUAAUUUUAAAUAUUGAAAAUUUGCGGUCAAGUUUGGAACCAAUCGCGCCAACGUGGGUCCUACCUAACCUAUUCAAAUGAAAGAAGGAUCAAAUUCAAAGGCCAAUUCGAAUUCAUGUUAUAGAAGAAAUAAUAAAACGGAUCAUUAUUAAGAGGAAGAAUUGGAUUAUUG